rnacentral:rRNA from 1 species
UACGUAGGGCGCAAGCGUUGUCUGGAAUUAUUGGGCGUAAAGAGCUCGUAGGCGGUUUGUCGCGUCUGCUGUGAAAACCUAAGGCUCAACCUUGGGCUUGCAGUGGGUACGGGCAGACUAGAGUGCGGUAGGGGUGACUGGAAUUCCUGGUGUAGCGGUGGAAUGCGCAGAUAUCAGGAGGAACACCGAUGGCGAAGGCAGGUCACUGGGCCGCAACUGACGCUGGAGGAAGCGAAAGCAUGGGGAGCGAACAGG